GAUGAACGCUAGCGGCAGGCCUAAUACAUGCAAGUCGGACGGGAUCUAUCGGAGAGCUUGCUCGAAGAUAGUGAGAGUGGCGCACGGGUGCGUAACGCGUGAGCAACCUACCCAUAUCAGGGGGAUAGCCCGGAGAAAUCCGGAUUAAGACCGCAUAACACUGUGAUUUGGCAUCAUGUUACAGUUAAAUAUUUAUAGGAUAUGGAUGGGCUCGCGUGACAUUAGCUAGUUGGUGAGGUAACGGCUCACCAAGGCGACGAUGUCUAGGGGCUCUGAGAGGAGAAUCCCCCACACUGGUACUGAGACACGGACCAGACUCCUACGGGAGGCAGCAGUAAGGAAUAUUGGUCAAUGGGCGGAAGCCUGAACCAGCCAUGCCGCGUGCAGGACGACUGCCCUAUGGGUUGUAAACUGCUUUUGUCGAGGAAUAAACCUAUCUACGUGUAGAUAGCUGAACGUACCCGAAGAAUAAGGAUCGGCUAACUCCGUGCCAGCAGCCGCAGUAA
rnacentral:rRNA from 1 species